UAGUUCCUCCCUCCCUGCGCUCCCCACUAUGAAACUCCUGGUUCUCCUGGCCUUUCUUGCUCUGUCUACCAUGCCGCUGUCUGCUCAGGAAGAGAGCUCCGCCCCUAGUGAGAACGUCGUUAAAGAGCAAGAGAGCUCCGUCUCCUCUGUGAGCUACAUUUAUGAAGUGGUUUAUUUCCGGAUACCUGCACUAUGGCUGUAUUUAACAAAAAAUCUGAAGAAUGGUCUGGAGCUUCUGUCACCUUCA